rnacentral:rRNA from 1 species
CGUAGGCGGCAAGGCAAGUCAGAUGUGAAAUCCCCGGGCUCAACCUGGGAAUUGCAUCUGAAACUGCAGUGCUUGAGUCCUGGAGGGGAUAGUGGAAUUCCCAGUGUAGCGGUGAAAUGCGUAGAUAUUGGGAGGAACACCUGCGGCGAAGGCGGCUAUCUGGACAGUGACUGACGCUGAUGCGCGAAAGCCAGGGGAGCGAACG